GCGGGUGCUCUGCGGUGCUGUGUG
rnacentral:misc_RNA from 1 species